rnacentral:piRNA from 1 species
AUUCGAGGACAUGCAGGUU